rnacentral:rRNA from 1 species
AUUGAACGCUGGCGGCAGGCCUAACACAUGCAAGUCGAGCGGGGUUUUCGGACCUAGCGGCGGACGGGUGAGUAAUGCGUAGGAAGCUACCCGAUAGAGGGGGAUACCAGUUGGAAACGACUGUUAAUACCGCAUAAUGUCUACGGACCAAAGUGUGGGACCUUCGGGCCACAUGCUAUCGGAUGCGCCUCCUUGGGAUUAGCUAGUUGGUGAGUUAAUGGCUCACCAAGGCGACGAUCCCUAGCUGGUUUGAGAGGAUGAUCAGCCACACUGGAACUGAGACACGGUCCAGACUCCUACGGGAGGCAGCAGUGGGGAAUAUUGGACAAUGGGCGCAAGCCUGAUCCAGCCAUGCCGCGUGUGUGAAGAAGGCCUUCGGGUUGUAAAGCACUUUCAGUAGGGAGGAAGCGUUGUGUGUUAAUAGUACACAGCGUUGACGUUACCUACAGAAGAAGCACCGGCUAACUCUGUGCCAGCCGCCGCCGUAAGAC